AUUGAACGCUGGCGGAAUGCUUUACACAUGCAAGCCGAACGGCAGCACGGGGGCAACCCUGGUGGCGGGUGGCGAACGGGUGAGUAAUACAUCGGAACGUGCCCAGUCGUGGGGGAUAACGUAGCGAAAGUUACGCUAAUACCGCAUACGAUCUACGGAUGAAAGCGGGGGACCGUAAGGCCUCGCGCGAUUGGAGCGGCCGAUGUCAGAUUAGGUAGUUGGGGAGGUAAAGGCUCACCAAGCCGACGAUCUGUAGCUGGUCUGAGAGGACGACCAGCCACACUGGAACUGAGACACGGCCCAGACUCCUACGGGAGGCAGCAGUGGGGAAUUUUGGACAAUGGGCGCAAGCCUGAUCCAGCCAUUCCGCGUGCAGGACGAAGGCCUUCGGGUUGUAAACUGCUUUUGUACGGAACGAAAAGGCUCUGGUUAAUACCUGGGGCUCAUGACGGUACCGUAAGAAUAAGCACCGGCUAACUACGUGCCAGCAGCCGCCGUAA
rnacentral:rRNA from 1 species